AUGAAAAAGCUCAGAGGUGCUGUGGUGAUGGAGAAGAGGUGAGGAUCUCGGGUCCUGGCGGGCGUUUGGAUGGACAGUGGGUCAGACAGAAGGAGAAGGAGGGCAAUGCCUGCCUGUGGAUUACUCUCUGUUUUUAAUACAGCAGCAGAUGGAGGGAGCUGAUGAUGACCCUGCAACAUCACCCAUCUGUAGACCUGGACAGCCAAUGAAGUUUCAGGGCAUGCUGAAGUUUGAGGUUUCUAUUAGAAUUUGGGCUACUUUGGCUACCUGCGUGCAGCCAAUUAGCUGACCCAAGGCACUUGAAAUGAAGUCUGGACUCAAUUCUCCACCAACUUGAAGAGGAUCCCUGCUGUGGGUGUGUGUGAAGAGGCCGGCUGGUUUGGUGGCUCUGACCCCAUUAAGAAGAGCAUGCUGGGGAACAGAACAAAUGAACUUCCAUCAAUCUGCAGCUCAAGGCUGAGAAAACAGACAGUGAGCCUGUGUGAAAAUAACGAGUGUGAGAGCCAUAUUAAGAAGCUGAUGAGCCUCCUUCAUCAUCACCUCCCCACAACCUCCAUCCAGCGUUCCCAGACCCAUUAGAAUUCCCUCCAGAGCUCCAAAGAAUAACACUAAUCUUCACUAACACACUAGCUCAGACUGGCCCAAUCUCCCCUGUUAUCCACAGGGCCUGAGGCUGGUGUCUGGAGGCUAAACAUAGCAGCCGUCUGUCCAGUGCUCUGACCCCAGACCAGUCUAUCUAAGACCCCAGUGUUGCCAGAUUGGGAUGUUUUCUGCCAAAUUGGGCUGCUUUGCUUGGCAACAUUGUGAUGAUCCCAGUCUGGCUAUUGUUAGGCAACAAAAUGGAUUAUUCUCAUUGUAAAAUGGACCAGUAAACUGUAAUGGUUUACCUUUUGGUUGAAUUGUAUGGUAAGUAAUUUGUGUCUAAACAGUGCCUAUUUGGACGGACAAAAUGUGGACAGGUAUUUGGAAGGUUUAAAUAAACAUUGU